AAGUGGUUGCUAGAUUUAAGCGGUUUGUUGUCUGCGGGAUGUCCCGGAAUGAAACCGGCCGGAUUGGAGUUUUAUUUAGUCUAUGGAGGUGCGGAACGGGAAAAUGCUGCCCUUUCAUAAUCUCUUAAACGGGAGGGGAUUUACUGUCGAGUGUCGACUAAUCCAUUGAAGAGACUGCAUGUCUCGUUUCGCGACAUCGUUUUCUUGUGAUGUUUUGGUCAACAGUUUGUGACAUUGUUGCAACGCUAACGUUAGUCUCCAGCGCGGUCACAGGUAAACUGGCGCCAACGGUUCAAGAAGAAUAACUGACCAUAUUCAUCUUCGAACUAUUCACCAUGUUUCUGCAACUGUACAGAGACCGUCGGUUUGUCGUUGUACAGUCAGUCUGAACGCUAUCAAAUAGCCGAGGGGAGAUGCGGGCUGAUGUGGAGUACAGCCCGGUCGGCGAGGGGCUGGGGAUGAGCGAGUUCUGGCUCCAUGUGUGGAUGCGGAGGGUCGCCGUGAUCGCUGCCCAUGUUAUUGCCUUUGGUCUCACUGUGCUGAUUUCACUACUGUCUGGAACAACACAAAACCUGCAGGCCUGGGGAACUGGUGGGUUUUGUUCCACACCAGCACGAAAGCAUCACAAGUAUUGAUCAAGUAUCAGUUGAUCAAUUAUCAGAGUCCUGCUCUGGUGCUGGGCUUGGAGAAAAAACCAGCAAAGCAUUGAUCCCAAGGACUAGGGUUGAUGACUACAGUAGUAACCUACAUUUCAACAAUGCAUCUGUGUUUCAGGUCUCUUUUCCUGGCAUCCUGUUUGUAUGUCUAGUGCAGUAAGUGAUCCUAAUGGCAUAAACAUGACACACACAAACACUGGCUGAAGUGUACUACUAUACCAAAAUAGCAGCUACGUCUAGUUGUAGUAGUUUUAGGUAAUGUCACUGUGGCAGAUGAAGCUCUAUGACACAUCUUAUUUCUGCUGUGACAUGUAUACCAACUAAGUCUAUCUUUUAAGAUACCAAGUAUGCAUCCUAGGAUGUGGACUCGCACAUACAGUAGAGUACAGUAGAUACAGUAGCCAAUAGACACAGACAUACAUACUUGGUAUCUUAAAAGAUAGACAUACAGGUAACUGCCAAAAUGAAGAUAACACCAACAUUAAGUGUCUUAAUAGGGCGUUGGACCACCAAGAGCCAGAACAACUUCACUGUUUUGUACGAUUACAUUACAUUUUUCAAACAAUAUAGACAUAUACAGGCAACAAAAAAAGCGAUAGACGCACACAAACAUCAAUGACAUCACAUCUGUCCAGAUCCACAUUUUCCCACCGCAUCUCCAGUGACAUAGAACGUGUGAACAUGUAGGCUGAACAAACAUUUAACAGAGAACACACCAAAGACAUAAAGCAAGUACUUCUUUGUACUUUGUGCCUUUUUAGGGCUUAUAAACUCUAACUCAUCUCCUAAUGUACCAAAAGACUGGAUUAUGUAAUUGUAAAUACAUUGGCGAAAGACUGCCACUUAAAGCUGCAAAUAUGUAACUGUUUGGGCGACCUGACAAAAUUCACAAAGAAAUAUGAAUUAAAGAUCUAUAAUUUUCUUUGAAAGCAAAUCUAAGGAGCAGUAGAUCUGUUCUAUGUGCUCUUUCUAUGCUUCCUGUUUUUUAAGUUUCGGUUUUCUGUCUUACUUUUGGUUUUGUACGCCAGCUUCAAACAGCUGGAAAUUCAAUAUUUUUGGUUAUGGAAAAUAUAGUACAGUUAUUCACUAUACUUGCUUGUUUUGUCACUUAAACUGAAAUAAUAACUAUUAGAAUUUUAGUAACCAGGAAAUGGCAGUGCGAUUUCUGCAUAGUGCAUCUUUAAAUACUGUGGUCAGUUUAUAAUACCUUGUGAAUUAAAGUAUAGUGGCUGGCGGGGCUCUACUUGGGGAGAGUGGGUCCACCGAAAGACCGAAGUGAGAUGAGUGAAGAGGCAUCACACAUCCUUCAGGGAAAUGUCUGAUGCCCUCCCAGCCACCCGUCCCAGUCCCUCAGAUGGAGCCCAUCUCCACUCUCACCAAUAACCACCAUUGGAUCUUAGCUAUGAUGGCAAACAAGGAAUAACGAUGACUUGACUUCCUCUCCUAAUUUGGCAUUGUUCUCAUGCUCAUCAAACCAUUCAGUGACCACUCAUGCCUUGUGAAUGGGGGAAUUGUCAUUCUAUGCCCCCCGCAUAGCCAUGGUUGCCAAAAUAAUGGCCCGCACUGCAUUUUUAUACAUGACCCUAAGCAUGAUGCGAUUUUAAUUACUUAAUUAACUCAGAAACCACACCUGUUUGGAAGCACCCGCUUUCAAUAUACUUUGUGUCCCUCAUUACUCAAGUGUUUCCACUUAUAUUUUGGCAGUUACUUGUACAUAUUUGGUAUCUUAAAAGAUAGACACAGACAAUGUUGUAGUGGAGGGUAUAAGCCGGUAUAUGCCAUUUACCCAGGUAUCUUUCAGUGGGCAUUGCGUAUACUCCUUAAUCCCCACAUUGCAUAUAAAAGUAGUAUAGUGAAGGUAUAAGCCUAUCAAUGGCUGAUGGAUCAGAUCAGAAUGUUUAGCUUUAAAAAUAUAUCUGAAACCUGUGAAUGACAGACUCAUGAUUGUUUCAGUAGUAGGCCUACUAUUAGCCUACUGGCACAGAGUGUGAAAGACUAAUAUGAGAUUUAUCCUUUUAAGUCAUUCAGAGUAUGUCACUGUUUCUCAUAUAAUUUGUAUAUAAUAUAGUAUAUGCCAUUUAGCAGACACUUUUAUCCAAAGCAACUGAAUGUGUGGUUGUGAGCAGAGCAGCUAUGUGGAUGUGUAUUUUACCAACCCAUUUUUAUCAGGGGUCGGCAACUAGAUUGAGCCACGGAAUGUUUUGUCAGAGCAAAUUGUCAGGGGGCCGGAACAUAAUUAUGUAAAUUUGCAAUUAACACUGCAAAUUGACCACAACUAAAUCCAAAAAUAGAUUUUAUUUGAAAAUAACAAUCAUUUCAUACCUCGAUUACAUUGAGACACAAUCACAUAUCUUUUUAUUUCAUUUGUAAGAAUACAUGGGAAAAGAUUAAGAAGAAGAAGUGACCACUAACCACUGAUCCAGCAGUAGAUAUUUUCUCAGCCCCCUGUUAGCAUUAAUAUCAGGUAGGGGAAAUCUAAUCAUAUAUAGAUCUGUGUUUGACGGCAACAUCGACCUCAAGUGUGAUCAUUGAAUAAGGUGAGUAUAAAUUAAUGGUCAGUAAUUUGGGUUCAUUUUAAGGAGGCCCAUACCUCCUCAGUCAAGCGUGUAUAUACACCAGACUGACUAACGCUGCGCUAUGAUUCCGUCUAGUGAACCAUUAAUGUAAGCUUGCGGCAAUAGACAACUAAGGUUGCUGUGAACCUGCUGAUUUGUUGUGUCUCAAUAAAAACCUUGAAUCCCA